rnacentral:rRNA from 1 species
GAUGAACGCUGGCGGCGUGCCUAACACAUGCAAGUCGAGCGGAGAAUUGUUGCUUGCAUCAAUUCUUAGCGGCGGACGGGUGAGUAACACGUGGGUAACCUGCCCUAAACAAAGGGAUAACAAUGAGAAAUCAUUGCUAAUGCCGUAUAAGCUUACACUAUCGCAUGAUAGAGUAAGAAAAGAUUUAUCGGUUUAGGAGGGGCCCGCGUCUGAUUAGCUAGUUGGAGAGGUAACGGCUCACCAAGGCGACGAUCAGUAGCCGACCUGAGAGGGUGAUCGGCCACAUUGGGACUGAGACACGGCCCAAACUCCUACGGGAGGCAGCAGUGGGGAAUAUUGCACAAUGGAGGAAACUCUGAUGCAGCAACGCCGCGUGAAGGAAGAAGGUUUUCGGAUCGUAAACUUCUAUCUACAGGGAAGAAAAAAAUGACGGUACCUGAGUAAGAAGCCCCGGCUAACUACGUG